rnacentral:rRNA from 1 species
GGUUAAGUGAAUAAGGGCGCACGGUGGAUGCCUUGGCACUAGGAGCCGAUGAAGGACGGGACUAACACCGAUAUGCUUUGGGGAGCUGUAAGUAAGCUAUGAUCCAGAGAUUUCCGAAUGGGGGAACCCAGCAUCUUUUAUAGGAUGUUACGUCUGCGUGAAUACAUAGCGCAGUCGAGGUAGACGCAGAGAACUGAAACAUCUAAGUACCUGCAGGAAGAGAAAGAAAAUUCGAUUCCCUGAGUAGCGGCGAGCGAAACGGGAAAAGCCCAAACCAACAAGCUUGCUUGUUGGGGUUGUAGGACUCCGAUAUGGUAGUCUAUUCAGAUAGUCGAAAUACUUGGAAAAGUAUGUCAAAGAGGGUAAAAACCCCGUAGGCGAAAUUUGGAUAACACCUAGGAGGAUCCUGAGUACGGCGGAACACGAGGAAUUCCGUCGGAAUCCGGGAGGACCAUCUCCCAAGGCUAAAUACUCCCUAGUGACCGAUAGUGAACCAGUACCGUGAGGGAAAGGUGAAAAGCACCCCGGAAGGGGAGUGAAAUAGAUCCUGAAACCGUGUGCCUACAACAAGUUAGAGCCCGUUAAUGGGUGAUAGCGUGCCUUUUGUAGAAUGAACCGGCGAGUUACGAUAGCAUGCGAGGUUAAGUUGAAGAGACGGAGCCGUAGCGAAAGCGAGUCUGAAUAGGGCGAAUGAGUAUGUUGUCGUAGACCCGAAACCAUGUGAUCUACCCAUGUCCAGGUUGAAGGUGCGGUAAAACGCACUGGAGGACCGAACCCACGUACGUUGAAAAGUGCGGGGAUGAGGUGUGGGUAGCGGAGAAAUUCCAAACGAACUUGGAGAUAGCUGGUUCUCUCCGAAAUAGCUUUAGGGCUAGCCUCGGAAUUGAGAAUGAUGGAGGUAGAGCACUGUUUGGACUAGGGGCCCAUCUCGGGUUACCGAAUUCAGAUAAACUCCGAAUGCCAUUCAUUCAUAUCCGGGAGUCAGACUGUGAGUGAUAAGAUCCAUAGUCGAAAGGGAAACAGCCCAGACCACCAGCUAAGGUCCCCAAAUAACUAUUAAGUGGAAAAGGAUGUGGGGUUGCACAGACAACUAGGAUGUUGGCUUAGAAGCAGCCACCAUUUAAAGAGUGCGUAAUAGCUCACUAGUCGAGUGACCCUGCGCCGAAAAUGUACCGGGGCUAAAUAGUUUACCGAAGCUGUGGAGUGCACCAUUAGGUGCAUUGGUAGGAGAGCGUUCUAAGGGCGUUGAAGGCAGAUCGUGAGGACUGCUGGAGCGCUUAGAAGUGAGAAUGCCGGUAUGAGUAGCGAAAGACAGGUGAGAAUCCUGUCCACCGAAUGACUAAGGUUUCCUGGGAAGGCUCGUCCGCCCAGGGUUAGUCGGGACCUAAGCCGAGGCCGACAGGCGUAGGCGAUGGACAACAGGUUGAUAUUCCUGUACCCGUUGUUUUUGUUUGAGCAAUGGAGGGACGCAGGAGGCUAAGAAGUGCAGACUGAUGGAUAUGUCUGUUCAAGCAGUAAGUCUUGGUAGGAGUCAAAUGCUUCUACCUAUACGGACAAGCUGUGAUGAGGAGGGAAAUAAUAGUACCGAAGCUUCUGAUGUCACACUGCCAAGAAAAGCUUCUAGUGAGAAAACAACGGCCCGUACCGCAAACCGACACAGGUAGUCGAGGAGAGAAUCCUAAGGUGAGCGAGAGAACUCUCGUUAAGGAACUCGGCAAAAUGACCCCGUAACUUCGGGAGAAGGGGUGCUGCUCUAACGAGCAGCCGCAGUGAAUAGGCCCAAGCGACUGUUUAUCAAAAACACAGGUCUCUGCAAAAUCGAAAGAUGACGUAUAGGGGCUGACGCCUGCCCGGUGCUGGAAGGUUAAGAGGAGUGCUUAGCGUAAGCGAAGGUACGAAUUGAAGCCCCAGUAAACGGCGGCCGUAACUAUAACGGUCCUAAGGUAGCGAAAUUCCUUGUCGGGUAAGUUCCGACCCGCACGAAAGGCGUAACGAUUUGGGCACUGUCUCAACGAGAGACUCGGUGAAAUUUUAGUACCUGUGAAGAUGCAGGUUACCCGCGACAGGACGGAAAGACCCCAUGGAGCUUUACUGUAGUUUGAUAUUGAGUGUCUGUACCGCAUGUACAGGAUAGGUAGGAGCCGUAGAGAUCGGGACGCCAGUUUCGAUGGAGGCAAUGGUGGGAUACUACCCUUGCGUUAUGGCCACUCUAACCCGCAGCCCUUAUCGGGCUGGGAGACAGUGUCAGAUGGGCAGUUUGACUGGGGCGGUCGCCUCCUAAAAGGUAACGGAGGCGCCCAAAGGUUCCCUCAGAAUGGUUGGAAAUCAUUCGAAGAGUGUAAAGGCAGAAGGGAGCUUGACUGCGAGAGCUACAACUCGAGCAGGGACGAAAGUCGGGCUUAGUGAUCCGGUGGUUCCGCAUGGAAGGGCCAUCGCUCAACGGAUAAAAGCUACCCUGGGGAUAACAGGCUUAUCUCCCCCAAGAGUCCACAUCGACGGGGAGGUUUGGCACCUCGAUGUCGGCUCGUCGCAUCCUGGGGCUGUAGUCGGUCCCAAGGGUUGGGCUGUUCGCCCAUUAAAGCGGCACGCGAGCUGGGUUCAGAACGUCGUGAGACAGUUCGGUCCCUAUCCGUCGCGGGCGUUGGAAAUUUGAGAGGAGCUGUCCUUAGUACGAGAGGACCGGGAUGGACUUACCGCUGGUGUACCAGUUGUCUCGCCAGAGGCAUCGCUGGGUAGCUAUGUAGGGAAGGGAUAAACGCUGAAAGCAUCUAAGUGUGAAGCCCACCUCAAGAUGAGAUUUCCCAUUUCUUUAAGAAAGUAAGAUCCCUGAGAGAUGAUCAGGUAGAUAGGUCAGAAGUGGAAGGCCAGUGAUGGUUGGAGCGGACUGAUACUAAUCGAUCGAGGACUUAACCAA